UUCAAGGCUUAUAAUGAGGCUGGGCUAACAAGAAAAAUUAGUUUUUCUGGAUCACAAAAUCCUUGAGUCAAGAGAGCUAUUUUAACAUUCAAAGUUCAAGCACAAACUUUCUUCUUAACCAAUUCUUACUCAUUCCCAACUUCUUCCCUUUUCUUUAUCUUUACAUUGAGCUUAUCUUUCAUGCUUUUUCUUUUCUUUUCUUCUUUUUCUUUCUCAUGCUUUUUCUUUUACUCAACACUUGAGCUCAAUGCCUUUCUUUUGCCUUUCAAAUUCCCCCAAACAACCCCAAACUUGAACCU
rnacentral:lncRNA from 1 species